UAGAGUUUGAUCAUGGCUCAGAUUGAACGCUGGCGGCAGGCCUAACACAUGCAAGUCGAGCGGGGUUUUCGGACCUAGCGGCGGACGGGUGAGUAAUGCGUAGGAAGCUGCCCGAUAGAGGGGGAUACCAGUUGGAAACGACUGUUAAUACCGCAUAAUGUCUACGGACCAAAGUGUGGGACCUUCGGGCCACAUGCUAUCGGAUGCGCCUACGUGGGAUUAGCUAGUUGGUGAGGUAAUGGCUCACCAAGGCGACGAUCUCUAGCUGGUUUGAGAGGAUGAUCAGCCACACUGGAACUGAGACACGGUCCAGACUCCUACGGGAGGCAGCAGUGGGGAAUAUUGGACAAUGGGCGCAAGCCUGAUCCAGCCAUGCCGCGUGUGUGAAGAAGGCCUUCGGGUUGUAAAGCACUUUCAGCGAGGAGGAAGGGAUAGUAGUUAAUAGCUGC
rnacentral:rRNA from 1 species